rnacentral:lncRNA from 1 species
GUAUCUGCUGAACCUCUUACUCUCCUGGAGCCCAGCCACCAUGCUGUGAAGAAGCUCAAACUAGUCCACAUGGAGAGACCACAUGGAAAGAUGGAGAAGCCAUGUCCUUGGAUGUCUCUCUGAGGCAAACCGAAGUUCAUCGUCUUGGUUCUCCGACAGUAGAUCUCAGCAAUAACCAAUAACCAAAGAAAACCCUUUAAAGCGUUCUUCAAGUAGAGAAGCCUGGGAUCUUCUUCCUGUUCUUCUGUAUCUCUAUGACUCUCAUGCGUCCUUGAAGACCCUACCAAGGUCCUGAUGGAUAUCUCCACUCCUCAAAUUGAACUUGACAUAUGAAGCUGCGCUAGCCAUCUUACAGUCAUGAAGACAAAAGCCAGUACACUAAAAAUCAUGGAUCAAAAGAAGAGAAAUA